CCAUGCGCGCAGUUUUUCAAAAAUAAGGAAAUGCUCAGGACCGUAUCAGGGGUGAAAAUGAAGAGAGAGUACAAAGAAUUCAUUGAAGCAAAUAAAUGAGAAUAUUUCAAAGCCUCAUUUUAUGAUCCAAUUUUGUUCCUCCCAAACAGUCUAGCUGAAUAAAAAUGGCAUCAAUUUUUACAAUGAUAUCUCAUGAUUGACGAACUACACUGUACUGUACAUUAUACAAGCCGAGCUAUCAAUUCAUUGGCAUGGGUUUUAAAUUUCCUGUCUUCAAUUUCAAUCAUUCUGUAAAUUUGGUUGAAUUUUGUUCUCAUAUCCACUACUUGCGACUAAAUUGAAUAAUUUUCGACCA